CAGCUCAGUAAGUAGAGCGUGAGACUCUUAAUCUCAGGGUUAUGGGUUUGAGUCCCAGGUUGGGCAAGA